GGAAUUUUGGACAAUGGGCGCAAGCCUGAUCCAGCAAUGCCGCGUGAGUGAAGAAGGCCUUCGGGUUGUAAAGCUCUUUUGUCAGGGAAGAAACGGUGGAGGCUAAUAUCCUCUGCUAAUGACGGUACCUGAAGAAUAAGCACCGGCUAACUACGUGCCAGCAGCCGCGGUAAUACGUAGGGUGCAAGCGUUAAUCGGAAUUACUGGGCGUAAAGCGUGCGCAGGCGGUUUUGUAAGUCUGAUGUGAAAUCCCCGGGCUCAACCUGGGAAUUGCAUUGGAGACUGCAAGGCUAGAAUCUGGCAGAGGGGGGUAGAAUUCCACGUGUAGCAGUGAAAUGCGUAGAUAUGUGGAGGAACACCGAUGGCGAAGGCAGCCCCCUGGGUCAAGAUUGACGCUCAUGCACGAAAGCGUGGGGAGCAAACAGGAUUAGAUACCCGAG
rnacentral:rRNA from 1 species